rnacentral:misc_RNA from 1 species
GAUCAAACAAUACAAAAUUUCACAAUCUGGCUAGUAAAAGUAGCUAAAGAUUAUUUGGUCGACUUGUCCUGUCGGGAAUCUCCUUUUAACACACGCGGGAAAAUAUUAAAUAAUGAGCAAACAUCGUGUUGUGCCGGAAUUGCCCCUGUGCGAAACUAGUAAAUAAGAAAAUUAAGCAGUGUCUGGUUUGGUCAUUAAACAGCUCAAUAUAUUCUCUUCAGCAUCCACGAGGACUGCCAAAGCUGGCUAAGUGUCAGACCUCGAAAAGCACAAACGUAGAAAAUGGUUUAGCCAGCACCCGUCAGCUUAACCGACGUGUCAAACAUUGACCUGGUAUGAUCCCAGAAGAAUAGACAUCAAAAAUCGGAAGGUCCAGACCAUUUUUAGCGGUGGUCUUGCAGCCAUCGAAUGAAAACCAUUAAUUAUAAUUAUUAUUUACUGAAACUAGACGAAAGAGUAUUAUACAUGUGUGCUUGUCCAGGUGUUAUUAUUCGGAGUUGUUGAAUUUACUAAAUUACGCGGUGUAAACGUAUGAAGUAAUAACUACCGAAAAGGAAGGGAAA